rnacentral:snRNA from 1 species
AACCGGAAAACCCCCUUUAAUAAUACGAUUUUAUUUUUCGCCUUUUACUAAAGAUAACCGUUAAGUGGGUUUGCAUAUCCGGAUUAACACAAUUUUUGUAGGUGCUUCGCGCACCU